UGUCGAUGCUGGAUACGAGAAGUGGCCAAGGACAUGAGAAAUGCCAUGGGAGGAAAGAGCUCCAUGGAGUGGGAAUAAUGGGAUUACUUUUCAUUAUUCUUGGAAAUUAUCCUUUUUUCAACCCACUUCAUCAUUUCUUUAGUCAACAUGUCCUCACAUUAUGUAAAAGAAGGAAACAUAACUUCAUGAAAGGGAAGAGAAAUACCCAAGCUCUUUUCCCACAGAAGGAACCUAAAUGAAAAAAAAGAUCUGGGCAAAGUAAUAUUUGUGAAGAUGAAGACACUACACAGUAAAAUCACAUCAAGAGAAUGUUAUCAACCUCUUUUUAACUAAAAGAAUGAAAAUGAAAUGAAAAGGAAUAUUUCAUUGACCUCUUAAAAUUAAUCAAAGACUUUAAAGGUGCAAUUCAGUUACCAGAAGUAAUGAAAGGAAUGGAACCGGCAAGGAACCGAGAUACAACCUGCUCUCAAGGAGGCUGGACUAGGUCAUUCCAGAUUUGCAUCAGCUCUGGGGAUCAUGGCAGUCAGACUAUGGGAUCUUACCCUAGUGCUGACCAUUAACGUAAA
rnacentral:lncRNA from 1 species